AUAGUCAUUCGAAGAAUUAGGUCGAAUCGCGCCGCCAUAAUUUGGGAGAAAGGUGCGAAUGAAGCCGCACCCUUUGUAAUUGAUUUCACGAAUUUUUUUUUAGUUGUUUGGUCAAGAUGAAGCAAUACUCUGUUGCUCUUCAUCUGUUUGACCGAGCUGCUUCUGUAGAUCUCUACACCUCAAGUGUUGCGAUUAAUUGCUUUUGCCGUCUGAAAAUAGCUGAUUUGGGGUUUGCAAUCUUAGGCAGUUUUUGCAAGCGUGGGUUCGAUGAGUCUACUGUGGUAAAAUGUAGCGCCCUAAUCAAUGGGCUUUUGUUGGGAGUCAUGAAAAUUGUUGAAGAAGUUGUUAGUUGAGGAACUGUGUGAGCCAAAUGAAGUUAUUUAUCUUAGUUUGAUCGAUGAGUAUGCAAAGUUGAACAUACUCUCGAGCAAUGAUUGAUAGUCCAUGGAUAGUCUAUGCAAGGAUGGAAUGUCCUUUCAUUGUUUUUUAUCAUGGGUGAUAAGGGCAUUUUACGAGUUUGAUCAUUCAUGGAUGACUCUUUCAUUGAUGGAUUGUACAAUUUUUAGUUGAUAGGAACGAGGCUCAAGACAUUUUGAAAAUGAUCUUUAGCCGAUGGAACGAGGCGGAAGACAUGUUAAAGAUGAUCUUUAGUAGAUGGAACGAGGCUGAACACAUUUUAAAAAAGUUGGUGGUGGAGUGAGAUUGAAGGCAUGUUAAUUUUUUUAGUUGAUAUGAUAUGUUGAAGAAGAUGAUGGGUGACGAGGAUUAUUUCAAAGAGUCUUAGUUGAUACGAAGAUUACGUUUAUUGCAAAGAGUGUUAGAAGAUGGUGGCCGUUGAUGUUUAUUUUGCAAAGAGUCUUGUCUCAUGGUAAGAGUGGGGUGAUGUUUCUUACUAUAAUACAAUUGCUACAUGUAUAUUUUGUGAAUGCCGAUGUGAAGUCUUUUAAGAAGUAACAAGAUGUUAGAUCCAAUGCCAGUCUAGAAAGAGAUGAAUUCAAGGAGCUUCAUACUUGAUGCCACUACAUUUUGAGUUCGAGGGUUUUUUAGGACAGUAACUUAGAUUGAUUUGAAAAUUUAGACAAUAACUUUCAGACUUGUAAAAAUAGGACACUAAUUAUUUUUUAGAGUAAAAUAGGACACUAAUUAAUAAGUGUCGUAAAAAUAGGACAUUUCUCAGCCGAUAAUUGGCUAAAAAAUGUCCUACGGAUGCAACACUUAUUAAUUAGUAUCCUGUUUUACUCUAAAAAAAAUUAGUGUCCUAUUUUUACAAGUUCGAAAGUUAUUGUCCUAAUUUUCAAAUCAAUCUAAGUUAAUGUCCUAAAACAUCCCCGACUCCUACAUUUUCAGUGUUGUUUCAACAUUUAGAAACAGAGGAUCAAUGUAGUGUUCUUUUUUGUUAAGGUUUAGAAACUUGUAGCAAAUGAUAUGUAAUCUAUAGUCUACAAUUUAUAAUCAUCAAUUUUGA
rnacentral:lncRNA from 1 species